rnacentral:rRNA from 1 species
UACGUAUGUCGCAAGCGUUAUCCGGAAUUAUUGGGCGUAAAGGGCAUCUAGGCGGUUAAUCAAGUCGAAGGUGAAAACUUGUGGCUCAACCAUAAGCUUGCCUACGAAACUGAAUGACUAGAGUACUGGAGAGGUGGACGGAACUACACGAGUAGAGGUGAAAUUCGUAGAUAUGUGUAGGAAUGCCGAUGAUGAAGAUAGUUCACUGGACAGAAACUGACGCUGAAGUGCGAAAGCUAGGGGAGCAAACAGG